rnacentral:misc_RNA from 1 species
AACAAGGCGUACCUGCGGACCUGCGGAGGGAUCAUUACCGAGUGUGAACCCCCCCGUAAAAAAGAGGGGUUACCUCCCGUCCUUUGCUGGGAACCCCUUUCCAACUUGGAAGGAGGUUGUUUUCAGACCCUUCUGCUUCGGUGGGGUAACCCACCGGAACAACCUCAAAAAUAUUCUCAAUUCAAAACCGUUCAGUCCGAGAACUUUUUUGAAAGGCGAAAAAACUUUCAACAACGGAUC